UGAGGAAUUUUCGUCAAUGGGGGCAACCCUGAACGAGCAACGCCGCGUGCAGGAAGAAGGUUUUCGGAUCGUAAACUGCUUUUCUGAGGGACGAGCAAGGACGGUACCUCAGGAAGAAGCCCCGGCUAACUACGUGCCAGCAGCCGCGGUAAUACGUAGGGGGCGAGCGUUGUCCGGAGUUAUUGGGCGUAAAGGGCACGCAGGCGGUCUCUUAAGUUCGGAGUGACAGUCGUCGGCUUAACUGACGAAGGCCUUGGAAGACUGAGAGACUUGAGGGCUCACGAGGGACACGGAAUUCCGGGUGUAGUGGUGAAAUGCGUAGAUAUCCGGAGGAACACCAAAGGCGUAGGCAGUGUCCUGGGGAGUACCUGACGCUCAGGUGCGAAAGCCAGGGGAGCGAACGGGAUUAGAUACCCCCGUAGUCC
rnacentral:rRNA from 1 species